GCAGAAAGCAUGUCAUUUGAAAUUAAACUCCGCCAGAACAAGGUCUGUAAGGACAUAACACGUUCAAGACAGCACAGAGUAGAAGCAGCAGCAGCUAUGACGAUAGGAAGAGAAUUUAUGAAUGUCAUUAUUGUCAGGCAAUUUUUCAAAUGACACAUAAAAAGUUCAGUUUAAAAAAAUAAAGGUAUUGUGUGAUAGGCAAACGGAAAAGAGUGGAGAGAACCAACGAGAUAACCCUUGCAUCAAGAUUGCCAUAUUUCCCAUUGAAAUGACUAGUCUGGAAACGUGUAAAUGCAACUCCAACUUUCAAAUCAAUCUCUUGGCGUGCAUCUACAGACAAUGCCUCAUCUCUGUUGGGUUCAGCUAGGCUAUUCAUUGCCUUCAGAAUAUCUUUUUCAGUAACAGAAGAGAAUCGAGCACGGUAAAUUCUUC